rnacentral:rRNA from 1 species
GACGAACGCUGGCGGCGUGCUUAACACAUGCAAGUCGAACGCUGAAGCACCAGCUUGCUGGUGUGGAUGAGUGGCGAACGGGUGAGUAAUACGUGAGUAACCUGCCCUUGACUCUGGGAUAAGCCCGGGAAACUGGGUCUAAUACUGGAUGCUACAUGUCACCGCAUGGUGGUGUGUGGAAAGGGUUUACUGGUCUUGGAUGGGCUCACGGCCUAUCAGCUUGUUGGUGAGGUAAUGGCUCACCAAGGCGACGACGGGUAGCCGGCCUGAGAGGGUGACCGGCCACACUGGGACUGAGACACGGCCCAGACUCCUACGGGAGGCAGCAGUGGGGAAUAUUGCACAAUGGGCGAAAGCCUGAUGCAGCGACGCCGCGUGAGGGAUGACGGCCUUCGGGUUGUAAACCUCUUUCAGCAGGGAAGAAGCCACAAGUGACGGUACCUGCAGAAGAAGCGCCGGCUAACUACGUGCCAGCAGCCGGCAGUAA